UACUUUUAAAAAUUGUAAUGAUGUUAAGAAAUCAUCAUUAUCAGGUGCAAAAAAUAAAUCCUCUUUUGCAACCCAGAACUCACUGUUCGGUAUGAGUUUUGAUCAUACAAGAAGGAAUUUA